UGGCACUGCAGAUGUUUUGAACUACACCUCCCAUGAUGUGUAAAAGCAUUAUGGGGGAUGUAGUCCACAACAUCUGAAGUGCUG